UUAUGGAUGGAAUACUGUGUUUUGGACUAAACAUUUGCCUCAUGUGAAUCAACUUGACAUUUGUGAAUAAGAGAUGGCAGCUUUGGUGGAUUUUGACGCACCACAGGAACACAGAUGCUCCAUCGGUGUUCAGUCGAUGGUGAAUCAUGAGGGGGAACAUCAUCAGCUGCCUGUUGGCCUUGAUCCUGGGCUUUAAUAUCACUGCAGUAAACAGUAUGAGGGGCUCCUUCUCCAUGCCUCGUGUUCGCCUUCCAGCGUUCAAACCUCCACCUCCAGUGUACGUCCCUCGCCUUCCAGAAUUCAACUAUCGCCCUCCAGAUUUCAACUAUCGCCCUCCAGAAUUCAACUUUCGCCCUCCAGCGCCAAUACCUCGCAUUCCAGAAUUCAACCCUCGCCCUCCAGUGUCCAACCCUCGCAUUCUAGAAUUCAACCCUCGCCCUCCAGUGUCCAACCCUUGGCUUCCAGAAAUCAAACCUCGCCCUCCAAUGUCCAACCCUCGUCGUCCAGUGUCCAAAAAUCGCCCGCCAGAUAUUGACCCUGAACUUCUCGAGCUCAUCUUUGGCCUCACAGCACCCGACCCUAACCAAUCCAGCAUCCAACCCGAACCCUCCAGCAUCCAACCCUGACCCUCCAGCGUCCAACCCUAACCCUCCAGCAUCCAACCCUAACCCUCCAGCGUCCAGUUGCUUCUAAAUACCACAAACAUCAUGAUUUGAUGGAUGAAGCGUCCACCGUCAACUACAGCAUCCUCGCCGCUGCCUUAUUCGCCACUGCCUUCAUCACCGUCCUCGUGUUGAGUGUGUGGUACGGGUACAUAAAACGAGGAAAUAAAGGGAAAUUGCACGUCCAUGAUGAGAUACAGAUGGAUUAGAGUUUCAACCUGGAAAUGAAUGAUCUGCUUAGCUUUGGGCACAAAAAACACCUGGCUAAAGUGAAAAACAUCAUGUUUGGCUUCAAAAAGGCUUCAAUCGGCUGGAAAUGUCCCCAAGUCUCCUUAAAAAUAAAACAGGAUAAAGGUGAUCAUCAACUGUACCAUUGUCAUGAAAACAAAUAAAGAUCUCUCUCUUUUU